UAGGUAGAGACAGGUCACAUUUCAUUUGUCCAGAGGCCUCCCAACCUAUGCCUGUGUCACGGGCAUGCUUCCUCCUGGGAAUAGUUCAGGUGUUCCUAUGAGCUAUGUGGGAGCUCUGGUCAAGGCUGCACAAACAGUUGAGGGAGCACACCCUGUGAUGAAGAGGGUGUGAGAAGCCAGCUCGAGAGAAGACAACAAAGGAGGACCCAGCACCCUGCAGAUUGUCUAGAGGUUGCAGAAGGAUCUAGAAAGAUUGGAUCCAAAAAGUCAACAAAAGCUACUGGAACUUCCCAAAGCAUCUGCCAGAGGCAGCUUUCUCAGAGAAAUUCCAUCUUCAAAAGACUGAAAAGGCAUGCCACAUUCAGAGGUUCUUCACACUGUGUAGACUGGUAUCAUUGGAACUUACCCACUUCAAAUAUGGAAAAUGAAGCUAGGAAAAAUGACUGUUUGCACAAGUAACAAAGUCCUUUGUGUAUGACCUUGAUAUCUUGCAUCUUCUGCCAUUUUCCAUGAUACAGUGGCAGUCCUACUUAAUACCUUAUAAGUAGGCAUAAGUUUCAUGUAAGUUAUAAAUAGAUUAAGUCUCAGAAUGUUCAUAAUUCUUGACACCCAAUGAUGCCUAUGGAAUUACCAUGUUUAACAAUUAAUGUCCUUUACAAAGUUUUCCAAUGCCAUCCUGUGCUUUGUCUUAAGGUUUAUUCUUUGUCUACUUCAAAAAUACGAAAGACUAUGUAAUGUGUCGAAAUACCAUGCAAAAAAACACUUCAGGAAACUGUCAAUCUCCGUAGUGCAAAAAAAAAUGAAAAAUUUGUUGUCUUUUUACAUUUUUAGAGAAUGAGAAAUAGCAAGAGAAAAAAAAUCCAAUGACUGGCAAAGCCGCUUAGUAAGGCCCCACAGCAGGUGUAGCAGGUAGACCCUUGGCCUUGGAUACAGCUCCCGAGAGAUUCUAACUGAACGAAUGGUAUCAAGAAGCAGCAGGUGAGGUCCAGGGGAAACAGGGCAGACCAGAGUCACAGACCCACAAAGAAUCAGGUUUCCUGCCAGUUCAUGAAGCACUAGACUGGAGGUGUCCAAAAGCUUUAUGCUAGUGAACCAGCAAGCAUGAAGCUAAUGACUAAUGAUAUUCCAUUGCCAGGUGGAAAUAGGAUUCCAGAUGUUUCAUGACUUAUGCCGUGUAGAUUAGGUAACUUAAGAGAAUGCCUACAUCUGAACAAGAGUCAAACAUAUUAAACAGAAUGAAGGUGACAAAGAUGUUCAGUUGAUGCUAACAAUAACCCCAGCUAGGAUGAGGAAUGGCUGCUUCCCUGAAAAGUGACUAUCCAUUUUAGCAGACAUCUCAUAAUUGUAUGUCUAAGCUUUGUUUACAGGUUUGAGGAUCAGGAGGCUGGAGGAAUUGUCAUAUUUGCUGCUACUUUAAAUGCUUGAGAGAAAAAUAUCAGAAUGCUGUUGUCAGUAAUUUUGGUAAAAGCUUGACUGGAUAGGACAUACAUCCCCAGAGUCAUACUAGGGAGACGUGGAAAUAUCUAAUAUAAAAAUAAGUAGAAAAAGAAACAACUGUUGAAUAUUAUGUUUCCUGACACAAAAUUAACAGUGUGGCAAAAAUUUUCAAGUACAUCUCCAAAGUGUCAUUUGCUGUGUACAACAUGGGGCUGUCAAGCUACCAACAAAAAUAACCUAGCCAGUAUGCAUGCUUCCAUGAAGCAGCUAGCGGACAAAAGUCACUUAUCAAAUCUUGCUAGCAGCCUUCUUCCACUGGGAAAAUUCAUUUAUCUCCACCUGACCGCAGGAGAGACUCGUGUGAGGGACAGAGCAAGGUGGAGACAUAGUUCUAGCUCUCUGGGGAAGGCAAUUCAGUCCGAGGACACACUACAGGGACCUCUGUCAAAAUCUGGUUUUCAGGGGCUGGGGAUGUGGCUCAAGCAGUAGCGCGCUCGCCUGGCAUGCGUGCGGCCCGGGUUCGAUCCUCAGCACCACAUACAAAGAUGUUGUGUCCGCCGAAAACUAGAAAGUGAAUAUUAAAAGAGUUCUCUCUCUUAAAAAAAAAAAAAAAAAAAUCUGGUUUUUAGGUGAAUGGUUUUUCUCUACCUAGUUUCCAGGAAAGAAGUUACUUAGGUCUGAUACCUAUGGGGAUGAUAGGUUACUUGGCUAUAUUGGCUAUUUAUGGACACAUGCAUUAUUAUUUAAUCCUCAGUACAACUUUCUGAAGAAUCGUACUAAAGAAUUUUAUCCCAAUAGGAACACAGUAUUUUCUCCAAUCAGUGACAACGACUUUUUUGCUUUCAGAAUCAUCUAUGAGUUUCCUAAUAAUAGGACAUAAAUUUAUUAGAUAUUCUGAUGCAAAUCUCCAGGGCUUUGUAAAAAUUAAGGUAAGGAUUUCACAGCAAUGGAUGCAAAGAGAUACCCUACCAUUUAUACCUGAACUUUCAGAUAAUGGUCUGCACCAAUUUCUGAACAGUACAAAUGAGAACACAUGCAGAUAUCUUUUCCUCACUUGGGCCUAGUAGUUUUACACAGAGGAAAAAUACUGAGACCAUCACCACUAAGUCUAGGCAGUGUUGGGACACACAUCUGCUGUGAGCCACAAGAGGACCAGAUGGAAAAGUAAUUCAAACACAUUUUGACUUGAUGGUGGGGGUUAGUGGCAUCAUUUAUACAAGAGUUACAGCAGAUUUAGCUGGGAAGAAUUUUGGCUGACAGAUCUCACUAGAUGGCACAUAAUGCUAUUGGUAUUUAACCAUUAGCCCUUCUCUUUCUAAAAACAUUUUAGAGAAGAUUUUUUUUUAAAUGCUGUAUUUUCUGCUUUUAAAAGCUCUUCAGAAUCUGUAUAAAGAUCUGUAGUAAAAGACUCCAUAAAAUGAACAAUCAUCUGGAAGUUUAUGUAAGUCAAUCAUAAAUAUUAGUUUUUCCUUUUCUUAUAGAUACAAUUCUGAAAUAUAGGCCACAAUUUCUGUAGAUGUGAUGCAAGAAAGCACAUCUCAGGCAACUAUUUUUAUCUGUGGUAAGAAAUGGGAAGUGUGCAGGGAGAAGGUAGGCUUAAGGAUGGGGCAGUAUAGAUUUGUACACCACCAUGAAUUCUGUGGAACCAUGAUAAAUGGUUGUGAUGGGGUCAGAACACCUGGUUCUCCUCCCAGCAUUGUGCCAGGAAAUCUGAAGCAAAUCUUCCAACCCAUUUGAGCCUCAGGAAAAUAAGGAUAACAUUUCCCUAAUUAUCCAAAUGCACAACAUGAUAUUAAAUUAUAGCAUUUGGGAGGAAGGGACAGAUUGCUACACAAAAUGUGAAGUGUAUUUUGAUCCUAUGAUUCCAUAAGGGUCAAGAGCAAAAAAGGGAGUAAAUCCCUGGCAAAACUGGACCACAUAAUGCCAGGUGUUUGAUGCAAGACAAACAUCUACAUGUGUGAUUAUACUUUUUAUUCUUCCUCCAGAUGUUGAGAUGUAAUAAAUGUUAGGAAUAAGCAAAAAGUUCUUUUAAAAAAUUUGAAAAUGAGACUUGGACUAGAUAUGGUGGUACAUGCUUGUGAUCUCAGUUACUCAGGAGGCUGAGACAGGAGGAUUGCAGGUUUGAGGGUAGCCUCAGCAACCUAGCGAGGCCCUGUCUCAGAAUAAAAGCUAAAAAAGGUUGGGAAUGUAGCUCAGUGGUACAGCACCCCUGGUUUAAUCCCCAAUAUGAGAGGAAGGAAGAAAAAAAAAAAAAAAAAGAGGAUCCAGUCAAAAUAGCCCAACAAUGAGAUGCUACCAGGAUGUUUCAAAGAAUAACAAAAUAGACUGAGAAAAAGCUUUCUGGCACCCCAACACGAUUUCUGUCAUAAAGGCAAAACUCUUCAAAUCAGAAGGAAGCCUCAAGUCUUCUUUUUGAGAUCAUUCUCUUAUGGAAUUUUUAUAUACUUAUCCUUUCCAAUUUUAUUCAUCAGUUACACAUUAGGACAAGGAAACUAGAUUUCUUUGCUGGUUCUGAUUUGAACUAUUAAACAUGAUGGAUAGCUCUUCUAGAUACUAAAAGAAUUUUUUUUUUUUACCCCAGGGAAAAAAAACCAACAUCACCAUAUGAUGCUGUCUUACUAAUUUGUAAUUAUGUAUGAAUUCAAGCCCUGUAUUCCAUAUUCAGAUACAGGUUAUCAGCUGUGUGAUUUUACUUAAUCAUUUUCUCCAUUUCUACCCUUUCACCAAAGAGGAAAAUGACAUUUGCCAUUUAUCUUCCUGAAAAUAUACUGACAUAACUAGUGUUUCCCAAAUGCAUGCUAUGUAUAUGUGCAAAACACUUAUCUGUGUUGCUCUUGAAGUUAGUUUAACAUAUUCUGUUUUAAAAGAUAGGAUGACCUCAAAUUCAGCUCUGAUUGAACAAAAUACCUGAGGGGCCAUUUUCUGCCACAAAUAUUAAGCUUAAAAUUUUAAGGAAAAACACCAGGAAUAGAUACCAACAGGUCCCUCUCAGCUUGGGGCUGUUCUGUAUCUCCCGGAUUACAUAAUCAUUCAGAAAAAGACUGAAGGUGCAACUCUUGAGUGCAAAGUCCCAAGGUUAAGUGCUGAGCUACAACUUUGCAGGGAGUUUUUUUUUUUUUUUUUUUUUUUUUUAUAUUGCCUCUGGAAGUACCACAACGUAGACACAGCAAUGAUAGAAGGCAGCAUUUGGAAAGCACUGGCUGUCACGGAUCAGUCUGUUUUCCUGAUCCUCAGAGUCUCAAUAUUUUCAGACUGACAUUACUCAUCCAUGACUGACCCAUCUGCCUGGGACAAUCUUCUAUGGCUUAAGGACCAGGAGUAACUAGACAUGAUUGAAAGCUGUGGUGGAGCCAGCCUGCUCCUGCAGAAUGAGCUCUGAGGUUCGAGAGCCAGCAAAAAAAAUUGGAUAGACAAUGUCGUUCCAUUACAUCCAGUUCUGCUGAGGUCAUGGAGUACUGUCUUGCUUAAGUUAAACUUUAUGCCAUAUUUAGUCAACCCUCCUAGAGUUAAAAGUUUAGUGUCUCUGCUGUGUUUGUUUGGCUAAGUCUACACUGGGCUGUAAGCCAUAACACUAAAUAAGACCAAACAGUGCUCACGGCAGUGUUAACCAGCAUGCAUUGUGCAAGCACCUAUGCCUGAGAACCAUGCUGCAGGUUAAUGUGAAAGAAAACAAACCCAUAGUGCAUAGAGCAAUCUGGGAGACAGCUGAUGCUCAAGGCUGCAGUGAACAACAUUAUUGCUUUUCUCCAAAUAAAACUAAGACAGAAUUUCUCCAGGAGAGCCUGCCAGUCUGCACAUAGCCGGUAUACACAACAUGUGCCAGUAAUUUUAACUUUUUUCUUUAGUAUUUAACUUCUAUCUUAAUUAGGUCUACAUUUUCUUUGCUUUCAUUAAUUUUGUUAUUCAUCAGUUUAAUUUAAACCUAACAGCUCCCAGGGUAAGAAAAUUCAAAAUUGCUCGCUUUAUUGAGCAGACCCAUAUAUCCAAAUUAUAAAGUAUUAAGACCCUGAUGUCUGGGAUUAGGUGUGUCUUAUUUUUUAUACUCUCCCUUUUCAAUGGCCACUUUUAGAAAUGAUUUUGCUCUACUAUUAGUGGCUCUGAAGAUGUCUACUGACAGUGCAGGUUGCAGCCAUUCUCCAAACUUACCUGUCAUGACUGUCUUCACAUUAAUUCGCAUGUUGGAAUCCUUAAGGCUGCACAGAAGAACCUGUCUGAUGUUAACCCAUCUGUUUUCCCUCUACUCUCCCUGAACUCACCUUGGGGAUGCAGAGGUGUUCCUAGGGAAGAGGGUAACACGUGGAGAGCCUCUUUCGGGUUUAAGGAUGAAGAGUUCUGGCUCAGAGGGGCAGGCAAAGCAGGGGCUGACGGUGAGGUCAGGUCCAAGGAGAGGUCAGUUCUGCCGUGGCUUGCACUCCGGCUUCUCAGCUCCUUCUCGUGUGCCUCAGCUGCCAACUGUUCCAAGUACUUGUAUCUGAAAGUUAAAUUCCAAAGGGUUUCCGUAAAAAGAAAGAGGAGCCUGUGGCCGAUGCUUGUUUAUGGAUGAAACACCUGCAGGGUGAGCUGGUUUCCUGGUGCACAGAGCGCAGCGCAAAGCUGACUGGAGGGUCAGUCUGCCAGAAACACCCAGCGGAGCCAAGAUGCUAAUGAUUAAAAACCCUGCAUCAUUCAUAAGCAAACAAAUUGCGGGAAGUGGCCACAUCGCAGAGUCCCAGAUCCUGCAUCACUGCGGCAGCAUUCCGUUUUGCUCUUUUAGGAACCAUUUGCACCAAUAAGCAAAAUAGUAAUAACAAUCAUUUAGAAGCUUUAACAGUGACAGCUGAGAACCAGACCCUCAGAGCGCACAGCUGCGAAAUAGGAGGACACGCCUGGACUCGAUGUGAUGGAGAGAAACAAUGGUCCCAAAAUAACAAAAGGGUCUGCUUGGAUGAAGGCCUCUCGGAAUUUCUGAACCUGCUUCAAUGCUAACAGCAAUGCAACUGGAAUUUACUUUGUUCUUUCAGCAUCAACCAUGGAAACUUUUUUUAUAUUCUAAAAUAUUUCUGAGUAGGACUCAGACAUCCAAUAGCUUGGACCUGACGUCACAUAUAGUUUAUUCAUCAAAGUCAGUUUAAAAGAACAAAGAUACAUCUGUUUUGCAUUUCAGGCAGGCAAAACCCACUGUUUAUUAAGACCAGCUACCAAUCAUAUUCCUCAUAGUGUGCUUUAUAGAUCAGACCAAAAUAACUCUGAAAUAUGUGCCUCGUCCAGAUGUCUGCUGAUUUUACCCACCAUUAUUUGUGCAGAAUUCAGCUGCAGCAGGUCUCUGAGGAUCUUACCUACCGCUGAACUGUGAAAUAGCUUACUUGGGACCCUCACUCCACACCCAUCCGGAUGCACUGCUUCAGCCCCUCCCAACCCACCAGGGACCCACCCAGGCAUUGGACAUGAUGCUCCUAAUUCACCAGGAUGAGAAAGGCAAAGCACAUAUUUAGAAUCUUUACGAAGGAUGCAUUUAGAAAGCAUGCACUUCUCCAUCCCAUCCUUCAGUGGGCGUGGCUCCCUGUCACCAGUACCCAUUCUCCCGGCCAGCACAAAGGCAGACUGUCCUUCACCCAUUCUUGCAUGUGCUUCCCGCUCUGUGAAGCCUGCCUUGACCACCACAGCUGGAAGCGAUCUCGGUCCUGCCUCUGAACUCAUGUCGGAUAUGUAGCCCAUUCAACUUGGAUGGCAUUUUACAUUUACGGCCUGGCAUAGUCAUCUUUUCACAUGUGUACGUCUGUUUUCAACAAGCAGCUAAUACGAUUUUUCAGAACAAGGAAGAUUAUCAUCCUUUGUUCUCUCCCUCAGUGCCUUGCAUUUGUCGGCUGAUGGAGAGCAGGCAAAGUGCACAGGGAGAAACCUGCACAGCAGCCUCCACCUGCACAGGCCCACCUGUGGCCCAGGGUGCCAAGGAGCAAAGGCACCCCAUUUCAUUUUCAUGGGCAGUGAGCCUGCUUUCCUGGUACAAACAUCUGAGGCUUGGUGCCAGAGCAGAUGCCUCACAAGGGAUGAGGCUAUACCCAGAAAGAAUCACACUCUGAACUUCUUUGCCAAAAACAUCACCUCUUCUAAAGGUGUCAUGGUUUAGAUCUGGAAUCUCCCCAGAUUCUUGUGUUCAGAGGUGGGACUUCUGGAAAGUGAGGGCUCUGACCUCAACAGUGGAUGAUGGAAUGGACUACUAGGAGGUGAGACCUAGUUGGAGGAAGGAGGUUAGUGGGGUCGUGUCCUGGGUGGAUUUAUCUUCUCUCCAGCCCCUCCCAUUCUUCCCGUUUCUCUGCUUCAUGGUUACUUGGGGAUGAGCAGCUUUCCUCCAACACACCCCUCCACCAUGAUGCUCUGCCUCACCUCAGGCCUGGAACAAUGGAGCCAACCAAUCAUGAACUGAAACCUCUGAAACAAUGAGUCAAAAAUAAACCUUUCCUCUAAGUUGUUGACUAACACAAAAGGUAAAAAAGUUAACAAAGAACAUGUUUCUGAACUCAGUUAAGAUGAGCAAGGAGCCCUCCAUCCCCUGCCAGGCUGGGAAAUAAAAGGAUUUUCAUGGCAGUAUGUUGAGACCCCUAGAAGCUUUUCAGACAGUUUACUCAAGGCCAUGAAUGCUGUCAGGCCAGGAAGAGGGAGCCCAGGCAUACUCACACUGAGUCCAUGCCUAGGACAGGAGAAAGGGGCAGGCAAGGAAGGAAGUACAAAUAAGACUAUCCACAGAGGUCUAGAAGAUCAGAAUCCAAGAACAGGAAACCAGAAAGUAUGGUAAUGAGGCCUUGCACAAAAGACUUCCAAACAGGGUGAAGACUUCCAAACGGGGUUCGUGUUAGCUGGUCCAGCCUUGGUCCUGGAUUUCCAUAUCCUUCCCUAUACUUCCCUGUGGGCAGGCAUGGGCUGGCAAACAAAGGAUUCACACUACAUUCUGGGGGACUCUCAUCCCAGCUGCUGAUCCUAGAACCAGAAUAGAUAAAAUACAAAGACUACUCCUAUGCAUCCCUUGGUCUGCGGAUGCCAUCCUGGGGAAGAGUCAAUGGUUUAACCAGAAUCAUCCCAAAGAAUGAGGAUGUUUACGUGGUAGACAAAAAUGGCUGGGGUGAGGUAUGGUGUUUAAUGGGUACAGAGUUUCUGUUUAAAAAGAUAAGGGAUAUAUGGAGACUGGUAACCCAACAAUGUGAAUAUACCUGAUAGUACUAAACUCCUGAACUAUACACUUAAAAUGGUUAAAAUGUCCAAGUGUGUCCUGUGUGCUUUAUCUGUUUAUAUAUAUAUAUAUAUAUAUAUAAUUUUUUUUUUAAA